rnacentral:rRNA from 1 species
GACGAACGCUGGCGGCGUGCCUAAUACAUGCAAGUAGAACGCUGAAGGAGGAGCUUGCCUCUCUGGAUGAGUUGCGAACGGGUGAGUAACGCGUAGGUAACCUGCCUGGUAGCGGGGGAUAACUAUUGGAAACGAUAGCUAAUACCGCAUAAUAGUAGAUGUUGCAUGACAUUUGCUUAAAAGGUGCAAUUGCAUCACUACCAGAUGGACCUGCGUUGUAUUAGCUAGUUGGUGGGGUAACGGCUCACCAAGGCAACGAUACAUAGCCGACCUGAGAGGGUGAUCGGCCACACUGGGACUGAGACACGGCCCAGACUCCUACGGGAGGCAGCAGUAGGGAAUCUUCGGCAAUGGACGGAAGUCUGACCGAGCAACGCCGCGUGAGUGAAGAAGGUUUUCGGAUCGUAAAGCUCUGUUGUAAGAGAAGAACGAGUGUGAGAGUGGAAAGUUCACACUGUGACGGUAUCUUACCAGAAAGGGACGGCUAACUACGUGCCAGCAGCCGCGGUAAUACGUAGGUCCCGAGCGUUGUCCGGAUUUAUUGGGCGUAAAGCGAGCGCAGGCGGUUAGAUAAGUCUGAAGUUAAAGGCUGUGGCUUAACCAUAGUACGCUUUGGAAACUGUUUAACUUGAGUGCAGGAGGGGAGAGUGGAAUUCCAUGUGUAGCGGUGAAAUGCGUAGAUAUAUGGAGGAACACCGGUGGCGAAAGCGGCUCUCUGGCUUGUAACUGACGCUGAGGCUCGAAAGCGUGGGGAGCAAACAGG